CAUAGACAUAUUAGGUCUAUAGUUUUCACAAUAUUGUUACUGGGCUUUCUUUACCUUUUGGAUUCUCUUCUGUUCUCGAUUUUUGAGCCCGUGGUGCUUCAGAAUAAUUUUUCUUUACAAGGCUCGAGUAAGAUCGAGGUGGAUAUGGUACGAGGACAGCAAAAGAAGGUCCGGUAAAGCUGUAUGAAAGGCUUCUAAAUCUGGCUUCUUCUUCUCUUGCAGAGAGGGAAUUUAAGAAAGAGUCAUCAAAGUUAUGGGAGGAGCCAUAUCCUCAGGCAUCAUCUUGAAAACCUUGUGCAGAUAAAACUAGUCCAGAUGGUAAUAGGAUAUUUUUUUUCUCUUAUUUGUAGUUUGCUCAUGCAUGCAUUAUGUUGUUUAUUAUAUGCAUCUUUAAUCAGUUCGAUUUCUCAUAUUUGAAAGUGUGAUUCUCCCUUUGAAUGUUGAAUUGCGGUAUAAUUGUUUAAAGUUGUCAGGGCAGGGAAACCUAGAAACAUCACUGGUUAUACAUUAAUCAGCGCAAAUGGAGGACUAAAUAAAUAAAGAGUUGCUGUCUGCAAUGCUGUCGAUGUUGCAUCUCUCCUAAAUGCCACUUUGGUCAUUCCCAAGUUUCUUUAUAGCAAUGUCUGGAAGGAUCCUAGGAGGUGGCAUUGUCUAAUUUGUUCAUUAAAUCAUGCGUUGAAAAUGUCUAAUUUGUUGGGAAAAUGAAUUUGGCCUGAAAAUGUCUAGUUGGCAUUCCACUUCAUUAAA